rnacentral:rRNA from 1 species
UAGAGUUUGUCAUGGCUCAGGACGAACGCUGGCGGCGUGCUUAACACAUGCAAGUCGAGCGAUGAAGCUCCUUCGGGAGUGGAUUAGCGGCGGACGGGUGAGUAACACGUGGGUAACCUGCCUCAUAGAGGGGAAUAGCCUUCCGAAAGGAAGAUUAAUACCGCAUAAGAUUGUAGUUUCGCAUGAAACAGCAAUUAAAGGAGUAAUCCGCUAUGAGAUGGACCCGCGUCGCAUUAGCUAGUUGGUGAGGUAACGGCUCACCAAGGCGACGAUGCGUAGCCGACCUGAGAGGGUGAUCGGCCACAUUGGGACUGAGACACGGCCCUGACUCCUACGGGAGGCAGCAGUGGGGAAUAUUGCACAAUGGGGGAAACCCUGAUGCAGCAACGCCGCGUGAGUGAUGAAGGCCUUCGGGUUGUAAAGCUCUGUCUUUGGGGACGAUAAUGACGGUACCCAAGGAGGAAGCCACGGCUAACUACGUGCCAGCAGCCGCGGUAAUACGUAGGUGGCAAGCGUUGUCCGGAUUUACUGGGCGUAAAGGGAGCGUAGGUGGAUAUUUAAGUGGGAUGUGAAAUCCCCGGGCUUAACCUGGGGGCUGCAUUCCAAACUGGAUGUCUAGAGUGCAGGAGAGGAGAGUGGAAUUCCUAGUGUAGCGGUGAAAUGCGUAGAGAUUAGGAAGAACACCAGUGGCGAAAGCGACUCUCUGGACUGUAACUGACACUGAGGCUCGAAAGCGUGGGGAGCAAACAG